rnacentral:rRNA from 1 species
UACAGAGGUGGCAAGCGUUGUUCGGAAUUACUGGGCGUAAAGAGCGCGCAGGCGGUCGUUCAAGUCGCGUGUGAAAGCCCCCGGCUCAACUGGGGAGGGUCACGCGAUACUGAUCGACUCGAAGGCAGGAGAGGGAAGUGGAAUUCCCGGUGUAGUGGUGAAAUGCGUAGAUAUCUGGAGGAACACCGGUGGCGAAGGCGGCGUCCUGGACCAACACUGACACUGAUGAGCGAAAGCCAGGGGAGCAAACGGG